rnacentral:rRNA from 1 species
UACGAAGGGGGCUAGCGUUGCUCAGAAUCACUGGGCGUAAAGCGCACGUAGGCGGAUUCUUAAGUCAGGGGUGAAAUCCUGGAGCUCAACUCCAGAACUGCCUUUGAUACUGGGAGUCUCGAGUCCGGGAGAGGUGAGUGGAACUGCGAGUGUAGAGGUGAAAUUCGUAGAUAUUCGCAAGAACACCAGUGGCGAAGGCGGCUCACUGGCCCGGUACUGACGCUGAGGUGCGAAAGCGUGGGGAGCAAACAGG